UCUGUUGCAUAUAUUUCCCAAUAGCUGCCCGAUGGGAUAUUACUUAAUAUGAAGUGUGAAAAGCUUUUCAAGAAUAUCUCAAGCAUUUCGCCUACGCUUGCUGGCCUUUAGAUAGAUUUGAGCGCUGGGAACUGUCGUUCUGUAUCGAAUUACAUUGCAGCGAAAAAAUUCCGACGACUUUGGAAUAUUUUCAAAUAUUUUUCGACACAUAAGGCUCCCGCAAAAUCUUAAAGGAAGCAAAAACAGAGUCUGGAUUUUCCUUUGGAGAAAACUCUGUUCUAGCAAUGAGGGCACAUACGAAAUGUAUAUUUAAAUUCGAGCAACACCCACACAAUGACGCAAUCCAUUUCAUUCAAAAGUUUUGGCAAAAACAUAACCAAAUGCCAAUAUGUGUAUUCGGUGUAUUCUGUGAGAAUGCCCGAGCAACUGGCUAAAUAUGAAAAACCAAAUCAUGGCCAAUGUAACGAACAACGAAAUACAACGGACUUUUCAUAAUUCCAAUAAGUUCUAGAAAUAUA